rnacentral:lncRNA from 1 species
AUUGUGCUUAUCAUUCCCAAUGCUUAGGACAGGUAGAGAGGAUAUAUGGGAUCAUUAGGAGACUUUAACUAAAUUAACCUUUGAGACUGGCUAAAGAUGGGUGGGACUCCUUCCCUUUGCCAUCCCUAGGGCUUGAUACACUUCUUAUGUAAAAGGACUGAGUCCAUUGGAAAUUCUUGUUGGGAGGCCUCCUUGCAUUCACCCUUAAGUAGGACUGGAACUAGCUGCAGAACUUACUAAUCACCAGUAGCGUCAACUGUGAGGCUGUGUAGCAGACUCAGGAGGCCGUGCCUUCUUCAGUUGAGGCUACUUUCCAGAGCAGCCUUGUCUACACCCCUUCUAUGCAGCAGAUAAGCUGUGGAGCAAUAGACAUCCAACAUGGGCAUUAGGAUUUCUCUGGAAGGGACCUCAUCUGGUCACUCCGAACACCCCCACUGCUGUCAAGGUGAUGGGAUCUGCACCUGGAUCCAUCCUUCAAAAAUCAAUCCCAUCACAGGGGGAAAAGGCAGCCUAGGUUCAGAGGAAGCCAAUAGUUCAGCUUCAGAGAGCUGGACCAUCAAAAGGAUCUGAGGGGAUCCACUAAAGAUAAGACUGACACAGGUUUUAACCUAAUGAUGUUAUAGUGUCUAAUCAUGUUGCCUUCUUUACUACCCUAAGAUCAAACUGGAAAGUCCCCCGAGCCGUUCAGAUGCCCAUACCCCUUAUAACAAACAGGCCAGCUUUUAUAUCUAACGUUACUGAAAGUAUUUUUGCUGUUCUGGGAAUCUAUUGGAAUUCCUUAUAGUAAGUUAAUGAUUAGGAGCAGCUGGAGCCACUCUCCUUGCCACCAACGUAGCAGUGAUGGACACUAACUACAGAACUUAGGAAGUCAGGUAACCCAGGGCUUGUUUGUAUUGGAAAGGUCCAUUGAAAAGCUAGAGGAACAGACUCUGUAGCUGAGGUAGUCUUGCAACGUGGCAAGACACUUAGUCUGCUUUAUGCAGACUGGGGGAGUUGCUGUAUGAUCUUGCUUCCAUGCAACUCAUUCCGGGAUUGCUGGAGAUAAUUUGACUGUGCUUUGGAAAUGUCUUAUAGAAUGGGUAAAGACUGUGAGUGGAGGAAAUGAAGGGCUCCCGAUUUCAUUCUCAGGUUCCCCAUGGCUGAUACCUCUGCUGUCAGAGGUUGCAGGGCCUCUAGCCCUUCGAUUACUACUGAUCACUGUUGGCCCCUGCAUCUUUAACACCGUAACUUGAUCUAUAAAUUCACACCUAGAAGGUUUUACGAUAAUUGCUAUUGAAUCCCAAUAUGGAUGGGUACCCACUGCAGAGUCAGUCAAACCAUGGUUCCUGGGGAAGGAAGAGUAUGCUGGUGAACAUUAUGCUAAGAGGUUAAAUUUAUUGUGCCAAGCUUGUAGAAACAAAAUUGUUGUUAGCUUGUAUAAGACAUGAGGAAAUUGUUCCUACCUUGAGUAUACCCUGUCAGCUGGCCAGAGAUGGACCACUUUCUCGUACUGCUGGGUCUGCAUAUUUUAUUGUCAUUUUUUUGAAGAGUUGAGUAAUAUCCCAUUGUGUAAAUCCACUGCAUUUUCUCUCUCUAGUCUUCUGUUUAGGGCUAUCCCUAGUCCAACUGAGCAAUUUAGAGUUAAAGAUUUAAAAGACUUGGAAAACAACAGCUCUCAAUUAGCUAAAACUUGUGACCAAACAGAAAAAAAUGAAAACAAAAAUGUGAUGAUUGAAUCCAAUGUUUCCACUGUUUGUUUCCACUUUGACAAAGAAAUAAAACUUCAAGAC